rnacentral:rRNA from 1 species
UUAAAGUUGUUGUAGUUAAAAAGCUCGUAGUUGAACCUUGGGCCUGGCUGGCCGGUCCGCCUCACCGCGUGUACUGGUCCGGCCGGGCCUUUCCUUCUGGGGAGCCGCAUGCCCUUCACUGGGCGUGUCGGGGAACCAGGACUUUUACUUUGAAAAAAUUAGAGUGUUCAAAGCAGGCCUUUGCUCGAAUACAUUAGCAUGGAAUAAUA